GGCAACUCGGUCUGGUCCCCUUCCAGAGUGUGGGAGCUUAGUUCUUUCGGUCUUUGCAAUAAAUCUUGCUGCUGCUUACUCUUUGGGUCCACACCGCCUUUAUGAGCUGUAACACUCACUGUGAAGGUCUGCAGCUUCACUCCUGAGCCAGUGAGACCACGAACCCACCAGAAGGAAGAAACUCUGAACACAUCCGAACAUCAGAAGGAACAAACUCUGGACGCGCCGCCUUUUUAAGAACUGUAACACUCACUGUGAGGGUCCGCGGCUUCAGUCUUGAAGUCAGUGAGACCAAGAACCCACCGAUUCCGGACACACUUUCAGAAUGUGACGAGGACCUGAGGGUCUGGAAAUAACUGGGAAAGAAAAGCCUUGUGGAAAGAAGACAUCUCCAGGUUUGUUUCCUUCUUGCACCCUGUAAAAGAAUGUGGAUCUUCCCUCAAAUAAGUAAAGGGAAAACAUGCUGCUUCUUCAAAGACUCCAAUUUCAGAUGGCAAAAUGCAUGGAAGCUGAGAUGGACCUUCUGGAGUUUUCGAUAAACCACUGUAGCUCAGUCAGAGGUCCAAUUAUGAUGAUACCCACACAGCCCGGUCCUCCCACAGCCUACAUCCAAUCCUCUGAGGAAGCUGAGUGGCACUGCCUUUAUUCACCACAGAUGCUACAGAAUCAGCAGGAAGGAAGACUGUGAAAAGGAAAAAUGCACUCUUUUAAGGUGCAUGGUGCAAGCUGUCAGUGGAUCUACCAUUCUGGGGUCUGGAGGAUGGUGGCCCUCUUCUCACAGCUCCACUAAGCAGUGUCCCAGUGGUGAAGACAAAGUAAGAAGACAGGCCGUUUGUGAACGAAGAAGCAGUCCCUCACCAGACACCGGAUCUGCCAGUGCCUGGAUCUUGAAUCUGCUGGUGCCUUGAUCUUGGAUUUCCCAUUCUCCAGAAUUGUAAGUAAUACAUUUCUGUUUAUAAGCCAUCUGGUAUUUUGAACUGGGUGGUAUUUUGUUAAAGCAACCCGAACAAGUCUAAGACAAUUGUAUUCUUUUCUUUAAAAGUAUAAAAUUCAACCAGUA
ensembl:lncRNA novel transcript